rnacentral:rRNA from 1 species
AGUGAACGCUGGCGGUAGGCCUAACACAUGCAAGUCGAACGGCAGCACAGUAAGAGCUUGCUCUUACGGGUGGCGAGUGGCGGACGGGUGAGGAAUACAUCGGAAUCUACUUUUUCGUGGGGGAUAACGUAGGGAAACUUACGCUAAUACCGCAUACGACCUACGGGUGAAAGCAGGGGAUCUUCGGACCUUGCGCGAUUGAAUGAGCCGAUGUCGGAUUAGCUAGUUGGCGGGGUAAAGGCCCACCAAGGCGACGAUCCGUAGCUGGUCUGAGAGGAUGAUCAGCCACACUGGAACUGAGACACGGUCCAGACUCCUACUGGAGGCAGCAGUGGGGAAUAUUGGACAAUGGGCGCAAGCCUGAUCCAGCCAUACCGCGUGGGUGAAGAAGGCCUUCGUGUUGUAAAGCCCUUUUGUUGGGAAAGAAAAGCAGCAGGUUAAUACCCCGCUGUUCUGACGGUACCCAAAGAAUAAGCACCGGCUAACUUCGUG